rnacentral:tRNA from 1 species
AUUUAUAUAGUUUAAAUAAAACCUUACAUUUUCAAUGUAAAAAUAAAAUAUCUAAUUUUUAUAAAUA